rnacentral:rRNA from 1 species
GACGAACGCUGGCGGCGUGCCUAAUACAUGCAAGUCGAGCGAAGCGGCGGACGGGUGAGUAACACGUAAGGAACCUACCGAUAAGCGGGGGACAACAUCCGGGAACGGGUGCCAAUACCGCAAUCUUAUCGAUGGCGGUGCGGGGCAUUAGCUGGUUGGUGGGGUAACGGCCUACCAAGGCAAUGAUGCAUAGCUGAUCUGAGAGGGUAAUCGGCCACACUGGGACUGAGACACGGCCCAGACUCCUACGGGAGGCAGCAGUAGGGAAUCUUGCGCAAUGGGCGCAAGCCUGACGGAGCCAUGCCGCGUGAGUGAAGAAGGUUUUCGGGUCGUAAAGCUCUGUUGUAAGAGAAGCGGUAUCUUACCAGAAAGCCCCGGCUAACUCCGUGCCAGCCGCCGCGGUAAUUC